AGUAUCACGUGAGUAACCUUCCCUUAACUCUGGGAUAAGCCCGGGAAACUGGGUCUAAUACCGGAUACNACCAGUCCUCGCAUGGGGUGCUGGUGGAAAGAUUUAUCGGUUUUGGAUGGACUCGCGGCCUAUCAGCUUGUUGGUGAGGUAAUAGCUCACCAAGGCGAUGACGGGUAGCCGGCCUGAGAGGGUGACCGGCCACACUGGGACUGANACACGGCCCANACUCCUACGGGAGGCAGCAGUGGGGAAUAUUGCACAAUGGGCGAAAGCCUGAUGCAGCGACNCCGCGUGCGGGAUGACGGCCUUCGGGUUGUAAACCGCUUUCAGCAGGGAANAAGCGCAAGUGACGGUACCUGCANAANAAGCGCCGGCUAACUACGUGCCAGCAGCCGCGGUAAUACGUAGGGCGCGAGCGUUAUCCGGAAUUAUUGGGCGUAAAGAGCUCGUAGGCGGUUUGUCACGUCUGCUGUGAAAGCCCGGGGCUCAACCCCGGGUGUGCAGUGGGUACGGGCAGACUANAGUGCAGUAGGGGAGACUGGAAUUCCUGGUGUAGCGGUGAAAUGCGCAGAUAUCAGGAGGAACAC
rnacentral:rRNA from 1 species